rnacentral:lncRNA from 1 species
GGUUCGGCUUUCUCUCCCUUGUUCCGGUUCGGUGCAAGCUCUUGUUGUUGUGGUUGCGUGAUGUAUUCGAAUUUGUGGGGUUUAUGUGUGAAAAAUGAUUCUGUAAAUCUUUGUGUUCAUCAUGUUCAUAUGAUUUUUUUUAUGAAUUUUGGGUGAUUUGAUCUGAAAUUGGAUGGAAGAGAAAAGGUUUUAGGGUUUGUUGAUUGUGAUUGUGAAUGAGUGCUGGUUGGAUCUGUGUGUACAGUGAUUUUUCUCUGACCCAUUUCCCAAUGAUUGACAGUGUUUUUAUAGUGACAAACUAGGGUUGGCUCUGGUACAAACAAAUGACCAAAAUGCCCCUGCAGCUGAGACUUGGAGAAAAAGAUUUGACCAAAAAGAUAAAUAGAUAAAUAAAAAAACAAAAUGAAUAAAAUAAAUAAAAAAUAAUAA